AUUGGGUUCCGGCAUUGGAAUGAGAACAAUAUAAAUCUUUUAACGAGGAUCUAGUGGAGGGCAAGUCUGGUGCCAGCAGCCGCGGUAAUUCCAGCUCCGCAAGUGUAUAUCUAUGUUGCUGCGGUUAAAAAGCUCGUAGUUGGAUCUGCGUGUUUAGCGUCCGGUUCGACCUUUGGUCGUUACUGGAACGCGACACAGAUGUGCUGGUUUGCCGUUGAUGCUCUUAACCGGGUGUCAGUGGCGGCUAGCGAGUUUACUUUGAAAAAAUUAGAGUGCUCAAAACAGGCGUUUCGCCUGAAUAUUUCUGCAUGGAAUAAUAGAAUAGGACUUCGAUUCUAUUCUGUUGGUUUUCGGAAUGCGAAGUAAUGAUUAAGAGGGACAGACGGGGGCAUUCGUACUGCGACGUUAGAGGUGAAAUUCUUGGAUCGUCGCAAGACGUACUACUGCGAAGGCAUUUGCCAAGAAUGUUUUCAUUAAUCAAGAACGAAAGUUAUGGGUUCGAAGGCGAUCAGAUACCGCCCUAGUCAUAACCGUAAACGAUUCAAACUGGGCGCCCGUCGGUGUUUUCAUUGACCCGACGGGAACCCUCCCGGAAACGAAAGUGUUCGUGUUCCGGGGGAAAUAUGUCUGCAAAGAGGAAACUUAAAGGAAUUGACGGAAGGGCACCACCAGGGGUGGAGCCUGCGGCUUAAUUUGACCCAACACGGGGAAACUCACCCGGCCCGGACACCGUAAGGAUUGACAGAUUGAGAGCUCUUUCUUGAUUCGGUGGGUGGUGGUGCAUGGCCGUUCUUAGUUGGUGGAGUGAUUUGUCUGGUUUAUUCCGAUAACGAACGAGACUCUGGCCUGCUAACUAGUGUUCACAUCUUCACGUGUGCUUCGCUUCUUAGAGGGACAGGCGGCUUCCAGCCGCAUGAAGAAGAGCAAUAACAGGUCUGUGAUGCCCUUAGAUGUCCGGGGCUGCACGCGCGCUACACUGAAAGACUCAGCGUGUACGUUGCCUGGCUCGAAAGAGUCGGGUAAUCCGGUGAAAAUCUUUCGUGAUUGGGAUCGGGACUUGCAAUUAUUUCCCUUGAACGAGGGAUCCCUAGUAAGUGCGGGUCAUCAGCUCGCGCUGAUUACGUCCCUGCCCUUUGUACACACCGCCCGUCGCUGCCCGGAACUGAGCCGUUUCGAGAAAAAUGGGGACUGUCUACUUGAGGUCUUCGCGGACUUUUUGUAAAUGGAAACCGCUUUAAUCGCAGCGGCUUGAACCGGGCAA
rnacentral:rRNA from 1 species